rnacentral:siRNA from 1 species
AGAUCACUUUGAUGCCAGAUACAA